GACGAACGCUGGCGGCGUGCUUAACACAUGCAAGUCGAACGGAAAGGCCCUGCUUUUGUGGGGUGCUCGAGUGGCGAACGGGUGAGUAACACGUGAGUAACCUGCCCUUGACUUUGGGAUAACUUCAGGAAACUGGGGCUAAUACCGGAUAGGAGCUCCUGCUGCAUGGUGGGGGUUGGAAAGUUUCGGCGGUUGGGGAUGGACUCGCGGCUUAUCAGCUUGUUGGUGGGGUAGUGGCUUACCAAGGCUUUGACGGGUAGCCGGCCUGAGAGGGUGACCGGCCACAUUGGGACUGAGAUACGGCGCAGACUCCUACGGGAGGCAGCAGUGGGGAAUAUUGCACAAUGGGAGGAAGCCUGAUGAAGCAACGCCGCGUGCGGGAUGACGGCCUUCGGGUUGUAAACCGCUUUCGCCUGUGACGAAGCGUGAGUGACGGUAAUGGGUAAAGAAGCACCGGCUAACUACGUG
rnacentral:rRNA from 1 species